UCACGGUUGUGGGCUCUGUGCGUCCGAGUGACUUGCUGAGCCGAUAGAGAAGUGUGUAGCUGGGCUAUCCUCAGACCUGCUGAACUGAUGGAGAAGUGUGUAGCUGGGCUAUCCUUGGAUCUGCUGAGCUGAUGGAGAAGUGUGUAGCUGGGUUAUCCUCGGACCUGAGGCUGCUUAGCUAAACCUCUCGUUUUGUGCUGGGAGACUUUUUAGCACACAGGAUCUGCCUGGGCAGUAGGAGGAAGAAAGGAGGACCCGCACUUUACAAGGUAAGGACACACACGUGUCACUGGAGCAGCUGCCUGUGGAUGAACUGUCCUUUUGUCAAUUGCCAGGUGUGCGAACUUGGACCAGCAUCAAUUAAUAUAAGCCUGGGAUCCCUACUUAUGGUAAGUGUGCCCAGGUCAGGAUAUGUGCUGGGAUAAAUGAAUGCAGUUUUAAGUGGUGCAAAUACCUAGUGAAGAACCCAGUUAUUACACCAUCAUCAGCACCACCACUGCUGUCAUCACCACUAUCAUAACCAUUACUACCACAACCGUCACCAGCAUCACCAUCAUUAUCCACAAUCACCACCAUCACCACCGUCAUCACCAUCAUCAGCAUCAUUGCCAUCAGCA
rnacentral:lncRNA from 1 species